UACGUAGGGGGCGAGCGUUGUCCGGAGUUACUGGGCGUAAAGGGCGCGCAGGCGGUCUGGUAAGUUUGGAGUGACAGUGCUCGGCUUAACUGAGCAAGGCCUUCGAAAACUGUCAGACUUGAGCACUCAAGAGGGACAUAGAAUUCCGGGUGGAGUGGUGAAAUGCGUAGAUAUCCGGAGGAAUACCAAAGGCGAAGGCAGUGUCCUGGGGAGUGUCUGACGCUCAGGCGCGAAAGCUAGGGGAGCGAGCAGG
rnacentral:rRNA from 1 species